UUCUAUACGACCGGACUUCACAGGUAAAGGUCGCUCGUGGGUCCGAAGGUUACCUCCUACCUACUCGAUCACCGCAUCGACACAGAUUUAACUUGUAAUCCUACUCGUUGCGUUAAGCUGCAUUACUAAUUGUGCAUUAUUUCUUUUUUGUUAUGUAUAUUUAUUGUACUUUAUUUUGUCUCCACUUUCUACGCUUUAGUUUUCAAGAAUUUACAAUGACGUCACGCUUUUGUUCGUAAAGAUAAGGAAUAAUGACACGAAUUUUUCCAUCCAUUAAAAAAGGUUUUUCUUCACUUCUGUGAUCAGAAAUUUGACUGUUUACUAUUGGUUUAAUAUAUGCUACAAGUGUAGCGAGUUAUUAAGAUGCUUUUUAAAUAAAAAAUAUAAGAACACAAAGAUGCAUGAUGGUAAUGUCAGAAUAACAUAUGAUCACUGAACCGUCAUUAACAGAACUCAAUUCUCCACCUACUAAUAUUUCAUAAAGAUGAAAAGAUACAAAUAUUUUGUACCUUGUAAUACAGUAAAUGGGACGUGUAUGUAUAAAUUGAUACGACAUAGACGAGCCAUCGUUCGAAAUUUCAAGUAUCGUUAUCGAUGGUAGGAUAAAGGCACAACUAAACAAAGAUGUAAUAAUAUUCGCAGAAAGCCCUGUUAUUUAUUGUUAUUCACCUAUAAAAUUUGGUGUGCUCAAAUGAUGUCUUAAAUAAUGCCAUACGCCGAGAUGAAAGACACUGUAUUGUUUAAACUAAUUUAAAAAAUAUACUAAUAUUGUUUUUAAAUGUUCAAUUACAAUUAAAUUCAAAUGGUAGUUAGCAAAACAUAAAACUUUACAAUUGAUACAGUUUUUAAAUGUUUGCCCAUUACCAUUUAUAUUGCAAAAUAUUAUAAUUUAUUUACAAUGGAAAACAAUAGAUGUAAAUAACAAAAUUAAUCAAGUUUCAAGUUACUUUCUACUAUUGGCUUUUUAAGUCUUGUAGAAUUGUCUUACUGGUACAAUCAAUUAAUUGUAACCAUUAUUAUUUAUAAUGCCAGGUACAUUUUGUUUCUUAUUUAAUUUACUUCUAUGAAAAUCAAAAACAAGUGCGCUUAUAA